GCGGGAAUAACUCAGUUGGCAGAGUGCUAGCUUCCCAAGCUGGAUGUCGCGGGUUCGACCCCCGUUUCCCGCU
rnacentral:tRNA from 1 species